GUGAGUCAUCGAAUCUUUGAACGCACCUUGCGCUCCUUGGUAUUCCGAGGAGCAUGCCUGUUUGAGUGUCAUUAAUAUUAUAUAUCAAAACCCCUUGAGUGGGUGUUUUGGAUGUGGGGGUUGCUGGCCUCUUUUAAAGGAGGUCAGCUCUCCUGAAAUGCAUUAGCAGAACAACCUGUUUCGUUCAUUGGUGUGAUAACUAUCUACGCUAUAGAACCGUGAAGGCAGUUCAGCUCUCUAACCGUCCUUUGGGACAAUUUAUUCAUCUAUAUGUGACCUCAAAUCAGGUAGGACUACCCGCUGAACUUAAGCAUAUCAAUAAGCGGAGG
rnacentral:rRNA from 1 species